GCCAGACUCCUACGGGAGGCAGCAGUGGGGAAUAUUGCACAAUGGGGGAAACCCUGAUGCAGCGACGCCGCGUGAGUGAAGAAGUAAUUCGUUAUGUAAAGCUCUAUCAGCAGGGAAGAAAAUGACGGUACCUGAGUAAGAAGCCCCGGCUAACUACGUGCCAGCAGCCGCGGUAAUACGUAGGGGGCAAGCGUUAUCCGGAUUUACUGGGUGUAAAGGGAGCGUAGACGGAUGGAUAAGUCUGAAGUGAAAGCCCGCGGCUCAACUGCGGGACUGCUUUGGAAACUGUGCAUCUUGAGUACGGGAGGGGCAGGCGGAAUUCCUGGUGUAGCGGUGAAAUGCGUAGAUAUUAGGAGGAACACCAGUGGCGAAGGCGGCUUACUGGACAGUAACUGACGUUGAGGCUCGAAAGCGUGGGGAGCAAACAGGAUUAGAUACCCUAGUAC
rnacentral:rRNA from 1 species